GAUGAACGCUGGCGGCGUGCCUAAUACAUGCAAGUCGAGCGAACGGACGAGAAGCUUGCUUCUCUGAUGUUAGCGGCGGACGGGUGAGUAACACGUGGAUAACCUACCUAUAAGACUGGGAUAACUUCGGGAAACCGGAGCUAAUACCGGAUAAUAUUUUGAACCGCAUGGUUCAAAAGUGAAAGACGGUCUUGCUGUCACUUAUAGAUGGAUCCGCGCUGCAUUAGCUAGUUGGUAAGGUAACGGCUUACCAAGGCAACGAUGCAUAGCCGACCUGAGAGGGUGAUCGGCCACACUGGAACUGAGACACGGUCCAGACUCCUACGGGAGGCAGCAGUAGGGAAUCUUCCGCAAUGGGCGAAAGCCUGACGGAGCAACGCCGCGUGAGUGAUGAAGGUCUUCGGAUCGUAAAACUCUGUUAUUAGGGUAGAACAUAUGUGUAAGUAACUGUGCACAUCUUGACGGUACCUAAUCAGAAAGCCACGGCUAACUACGUG
rnacentral:rRNA from 1 species